rnacentral:lncRNA from 1 species
UAAAUACAUUCGACAUAUGCACAUAAUACAAAUAAUAUUAUUAUGCAAACUAUUCUUUAAAAAUAAUUUAUUAAACUUAAAUUAAAGAGUCAAAUUAAUAAAUCAAUUAAAGAAGUCUAACAAUUAAAUGGAAGCUCAUGUUUUUUUGUUUUAAAAAUCGCAGCCCAAUUAAAAAAAUGCAGUCCAUCACUUAAAAAAAAAACAGGCCCAACACUUAAUAAAUAAAUCAGGCCCAAACCCAAAGAAAAUAAAGUAGGCCCAACAUCCUAGCCCUAAAUCCCUUUCUCCCUUCCUCAUUUUAAUCACACGCACACACACACAUUCAGAAACACACGCACAC